UUAAGCUAGAAAGAGCGCAGGGUGGAUGCCUUGGCACUAAGAGCCGAUGAAAGACGUGAUAAGCUGCGAAAAGCUUCGGGGAGUGGCAAAUACACUUUGAUCCGGAGAUCUCUGAAUGGGGAAACCUGGCUGAGCAAACCUCAGUCGUCGUAUGGUGAAUACAUAGCCAUGCGUCGGGAACCUGGUGAACUGAAACAUCUAAGUAGCCAGAGGAAAAGAAAACAACAUGUGAUUUCCAAAGUAGCGGCGAGCGAAAUGGAAAGAGGCCAAACCGGCGUGCGUGCAUGCCGGGGUUCGGACCGCGGAAUUGAUUCAGUGAGUUUAAUGGAAAGGUUUUGGGAAAGCCUGCCAAAGAGGGUGAAAGCCCCGUACAUGAAAGACGAGCUGACAUGGCGGUAUCCAGAGUACCACGAGACACGAGAAACCUUGUGGGAACACGCGGGGACCACCCCGUAAGCCUAAAUACUCCUUAGUGACCGAUAGCGCAUAGUACUGUGAAGGAACGGUGAAAAGAACCCCGGGAGGGGAGUGAAAGAGAACCUGAAACCCUGUGUUUACAAGCUGUGGAACAUCUUUAUAUGAUGAACCGCGUACUUUUUGUAGAACGGUCCGGCGAGUUACGCUGGCUGGCGAGGUUAAGGACUAAAGGUCCGGAGCCGAAGGGAAACCAAGUCUUAAUAGGGCGAGUUAAGUCAGUCAGAGUAGACCCGAAACCGGGUGAUCUACCCAUGUCCAGGAUGAAGUUGCCGUAAAAGGCAAUGGAGGUCCGAACACACAUCCGUUGAAAAGGGUGGUGAUGAGGUGUGGGUAGGGGAGAAAUUCCAAUCGAACCCGGAGAUAGCUGGUUCUCCUCGAAAUAGCUUUAGGGCUAGCCUCGGUUUAGUCUGCUGGAGGUAGAGCACUGAAUUUCCUAGGGGGCGUCAAAGCUUACCGAAGAAUAUCAAACUCCGAAUGCCAGCCAGAUGAUGACCGGGAGUCAGACUGCACGAGAUAAGUUGGGUAGUCAAAAGGGAAAGAGCCCAGACCACCGGCUAAGGUCCCAAAGUACGUGUUAAGUGGAAAAGGAUGUGGGAUUUCAAAGACAACCAGGAUGUUGGCUCAGAAGCAGCCAUACAUUCAAAGAGUGCGUAAUAGCUCACUGGUCGAGAGGUCCUGCGCCGAAAAUGUCCGGGGCUGAAACACGACACCGAAGCUGUGGAAUUGACGAAUGUUAAUUGGUAGAGGAGCAUUCUUAGCGGGAUGAAGCAGUACCGAAAGGAGCUGUGGACUUCUAAGAAGAGAGAAUGCCGGAAUGAGUAGCGAGAGAGAGGUGAGAAUCCUCUCGGCCGAAUAUCUAAGGUUUCCAGAGUAAAGCUGAUCUGCUCUGGGUAAGUCGGGACCUAAGGCGAGGUCGAAAGACGUAGUCGAUGGACAACAGGUUGAGAUUCCUGUACUGCUGUAUAACAGAACUGUGGGGACACAGAGGGAGAGUGCAACCCGGGAGUGGAAAGACCGGGGCAAGCGAGGUAGGAGUCACGUAGGCAAAUCCGCGUGACGAUCCGAAGACGUGACGCAUAGCGAAAUCAAGUAGCGAAUUGCAUGAGCCAGCUGUCGAGAAAAGCCGCUAUUGUUUGUACAGUACCCGUACCGUAAACCGACACAGGUGGAUGAGGAGAGAAUCCUAAGGCCGACGGAAGAAGCAUUGUUAAGGAACUCGGCAAAAUGACCCCGUAACUUCGGGAGAAGGGGUGCCCUGUGAAAGCAGGGCCGCAGUGAAAUGGCUCAAGCAACUGUUUAGCAAAAACACAGGUCUAUGCAAAACCGAAAGGUGAAGUAUAUGGGCUGACGCCUGCCCGGUGCUGGAAGGUUAAGAGGAGAGGUUAGCGCAAGCGAAGCUUUGAAUUUAAGCCCCAGUAAACGGCGGCCGUAACUAUAACGGUCCUAAGGUAGCGAAAUUCCUUGUCGGGUAAGUUCCGACCCGCACGAAAGGCGUAAUGAUUUGAGCACUGUCUCG
rnacentral:rRNA from 1 species